rnacentral:rRNA from 1 species
GACGAACGCUGGCGGCGUGCUUAACACAUGCAAGUCGAACGCUGAAGCCCUGGCUUUUGUUGGGUUGGAUGAGUGGCGAACGGGUGAGUAACACGUGAGUAACCUGCCCUCUUCUUUGGGAUAACGCCCGGAAACGGGUGCUAAUACUGGAUAUUCACUGGCCUUCGCAUGGGGGUUGGUGGAAGGCGUUGUUCUGGUGGGGGAUGGGCUCGCGGCCUAGCAGCUUGUUGGUGGGGUUAUGACCUACCAAGGAUUUGACGGGUAGCCGGCCGGAGAGGGUGACCGGUGAAAUUGGGAAGGGGAUACGGCCCAGAGUCCUACGGGAGGCAGCAGUGGGGAAUAUUGCACAAUGGGCGAAAGCAUGAUGCAGCGACGCCGCGUGAGGGAUGGAGGCCUUCGGGUUGUAAACCUCUUUCGCUCAUGGUCAAGCCGCAACUGUGGGUUGUGGUGAGGGUAGUGGGUAAAGAAGCGCCGGCUAACUACGUG